rnacentral:rRNA from 1 species
CAGCAGCCGCGGGAAUACGAAGGGGGCUAGCGUCGUUCGGAUUUACUGGGCGUAAAGCGCACGUAGGCGGAUCCUUAAGUCAGAGGUGAAAUCCCGAGGCUCAACCUUGGAACUGCCUUUGAUACUGGGGAUCUCGAGUUCGGGAGAGGUGAGUGGAACUGCGAGUGUAGAGGUGAAAUUCGUAGAUAUUCGCAAGAACACCAGUGGCGAAGGCGGCUCACUGGCCCGAUACUGACGCUGAGGUGCGAAAGCGUGGGGAGCAAACAGGAUUAGAUACCCCAGAGUCCCUGUCUCUUAUACA